rnacentral:misc_RNA from 1 species
CCAAAUUGCACCGGUGAGCCAAAUGCUAGCGUUCAUCUUCUGAUGCUGUACGAUUUCCAUGGCUGCCUCGGCUACCUCCGUUGCACUUUUGCCCGCAAAAUUUGUAUGCAGGGGACGCGUUGAGCCGUCGAAAUCGAAGUUUCUUGCUCCAAGCUCAAAAUCGUCAAUUCCAUGUCAUUCCGUUUCAAUUUCGUCUCGGUUCCAUCGGCGCAAGCCAUUCAGAAUUCAGGCGUCGGUUUCGAUAUCGGAUCCUCAAGUUCGAACGGGUCCUGAUGAUCUCGUUGCGUCCAUCCUCUCAAAGGUGACAGGAAGUGAUAGAGG